AACUUUUGGGAGGGGCCUUGUGAAUCUGGUAAAAAUUUCUCAGUUCUCUUAGCUUUGUAAGUUUUACUACCUUCUAGAAAGUCUCCUGUCUGUCUCCAAUGGGGACUGUUUCAAUAAGGAGGAAAUAACAACAGGAUAGGUGGAGAGGAUGCUGGGAUUGGACAAUACCUGCAGUGUGCAUUAAACAUGCCAGCUCGGCUGUACCAAAAAAGGGUUUCUCAGUAUCAUCCUGGCUGUCCUGGAAAAUCCUUGAGGUUCUAUUGUGGAUAAUUGACUUUCUACUUGAGAAACCGACUAGCUACAUCAACACAGGAACAUGUAUA